UCUGAUCUGUCUUGCCUCUCAGACAAGCAACUGGUCGUGAGAAAUAUCCGGAACCACUCAGAUUCUCUCUCUCUCUCUCUCUUCCUCUCUUUGCCCUCUCAAUCUUAGCUGAAAAAUGGGCUAAGCUUUUGGAUGAUUUUCCUCCAAGGGUUACAAAAGUAACUGGUUUCUCGGAUUCAUUGACCAGCCAUUAUUUUGUUCUAUUAUUAGAUAGAUCAAGAUGGGACAAGAAGAGAAAAAUCCAAAGCGUAGCAUCAGUAGUUAUGGUGGCAUCAGAACAAGAUCUUCCAAAAAGCAGAAGCAAAAGAAAGGUGCCACAGCGAGGACUUGGAGUGGCACAGUUGGACAAGAUCAGGAUUGAAGAACAACAGAAGAGCCAUGCAACUGUUGCUGCAGUUUCAACGUUAACACCUCCACAAGAUUCAGAUCCUGAUGUGUCAGUCCUGGUGAAAGGCUCUGUUCCAUUGGCAAGCGCCUUAAAGUAUGAUGGGCUUGAGAAUACUAGUCAGCACGGUACAGCAUAUUCAAACCGGAAGGAUCGUGAAGUGUGGAAUUCUUGUGAACAUAUUGCUGAGGAUGGUCAUAGGAUAGACGCUCGAUUCACUUUCCGCUUGAAACUACUUCUGCCUAGUGAAUGUGACUAUCUUUGGCCUUUGUUAGGUUUACCCCACUAUGAUCCACCAGGUUCUUCCACAGUAAGGCAAUGGCUUAUUGUUGGUGGAAAUUUCAGUUUGUGACUUCUGAUUUACUAAAUUUCCUCUGGUCUUUUUUCUCCUUCUGUGUUGAAAGAUUGUAUAAAAACUUUAACAUAGCGGGAACGCCACAGGUAAAUGCAUCAACAACUUCAUCAUCAUAUGUACUAAAUUCUCAGACAGAGCCCCCUUCAAACCAAAGCUAUCAUGGCAACUGUUCUCCUAUCCAGCAGGAGGAAGAGAAGAUAGGUGGCUGAAGCGGUCAUGUCCGUUGUCUUCAGAAAAGCUCCCUGCAUUUCUGGUCCACCUAAAGCUUCUUACAUCUGCCAAUACUCCCCAGACGUCAGAUGACUCGGCUUCAUCUGAAUAUGGAGCUGAAUUGAUUUACGAACCAGGGAUCGGGAGUUUUAGGUAUUCUUCACUUCAAGCUUCAGUUUCCAAUGCAAAAUCAGUUCAAAGUAAGAAACAAAACGGAGUUUUCAGCAGUGAGUUCCUCACAUUAGGCCUUCCUACUUUGCCAUCGACGUGGCUGACUACCAAGAGCAACCGGCCAUUUGCUUCUGUGGCCUUUGCCAAUUGUGAACCUCCCAAUAAUGAGAGACCAAGCUGUAAGGUGAGAGUAAAUUUUUUUGACAAGCCUUAUGGUUCGCAUGGCUGUCCUUGUGAUUCUACAUCUGAAUUGAUAAGCUACAUCAGUGAAAAGGGUCAUGCGCAAGAUUCAAAAUUUUGAGAGGGACCGAGGUGGGUCAAUCAGCAAGGGAAUUACGACUACUACAGCUUCCUCCCUCUGGCAAAGAAGCAUUCUGAUGAAGGAGCUGCAAGCACAACCAUUUUUCGCAAUGGAGUUACAGAAGGAAGCGUUGAUCUUGACUUGAAACUGUAGAGAUGGGUGGCCAAGAUGAAGUCAUAAAGAGCCAUCUAACUUAUCAGGGUGGUAAGCUCAGAAAAGAAAUACCUUUAUUUUCCCUAAACUUCAAGAUGGGCUCCCCAAAGUUCCAUGCGAGGCUAAAAUGAGCGUACUGACUUGAAAAGGGAGGUGGAGAGAAGGAGAAAAGUUGAAAUGGGAUUGGUUAGUAGAUAUGUUUGUUAGGAUGUUAUAUUUGAUGUAAGAGAUGUUGGUUUUCUUGGGUUAUUUCUGCCAAUUGGUUUGAAUGGUGGAUGAUAAAUCAUGCACUUGAUUGCACA